GAUAAAAUGUAGGUAUAAAAGAAAGAACUGCUUGGCAUAGAUUACUCAGGUACAGCUGAGGUUUCUCUGGCCAUGAUAAACCUUGUUUACAUCAGGAAUGGAAGGUGGUACAAUGGGAAUCUUUUUUUCUAGAGGCCAAGAUUUGAACAAAUGACUUCUAAAAGUCCCUUAAGCCUCUGCAAUUCAUGGUGAUAUAGUAGAUUGGUGAGCUUUCCUUUCAAGUCUAUCUAAACCCAUAAAUGAUUUUGAGAUCAGAGAGACUCCUUUUAACUGGACAGCUUUAUUCUCUCUUGGUCCUUGCAUU
rnacentral:lncRNA from 1 species